GAUUCAGAGUCGAUUACCUUUUUUAUAAGCUAAUAGCUUUGUUAUUCGUUCACCUUCGGAUUUACAACUUGGCAGAUUGCUUACAUUCAAACACGGCAAAAUUAAACACUUCAUGAAAUGUAUUUUUUAUGAUCUCGAGGAAUGUACUCUUUAACAGAGUGUGAGUGAGGAGACACCCUAAGAAAUGGAGGUCUGCCUGGUAACUUCGGACGGAGGCUUCUGUAUUGGCAGAGAAGAGAGUCACCCCACCGGGCUCUGGGAGGGACCAAACAAGAAUAUAAAAAUAUGUGUGAUGUGUUUGUAAAGCGUUCUGGAAUGCCCAGAUGCUCUUGAUGUAUCUGUUGUUCGGAAUCCUGAGCUCAGCUCGAUCUAUUUUACUCGCCUUCUAUUCUAAAUAAAAUCAAUCUGAUCAUAGACGUUGUAUGAGCGAUUUCUGAACCGGGGAAGGACUGUAUGAUUUCAGUCCAACACAGUAUACAGAGCUAAGGUUUUUUUUUAAAGAGUAAAAAAGAGAUAGAAGUCAGAACUGAUCAGUCAGGUAUUGACGGAAGAGAUGUGUUUUCAGACGGUUCUUAAAGAUGGCUACAGAAUCUGCUGAUCUUGUAGCAGCGGGCAGAUCAUUCCAUAAAUGUGGAACCGAUCCAGAGAAGGUACGUGAGAGAGAUUUUUUACCUUUUUGCGAUGGCACCACAAGACGUCGUUCGCGUGCAGAGCGUAGGGAUCUGGCGGGUAUAUAAGUCUGCAUUAGCGAGUGAAGGUAAGGGGGUGCCAAAUCAGUGGUGGUCUUGUAAGGCCAGGAGCAGAGUCUUGAAUUUGAUUGGAGCGACUAUAGGGAGCCAAUCUAGCAAUUUAUUAGGUUAAUUGACAUCAGGUCUGUUAAAUGAUUAGCUAUAAAAGGGAUGAGAGUCAGAGUCUCGGCACUAUUGGAAGGCACUAUGAAUGCUGAAAGGUAUAUAAAGGUUUUAGAGCAACAUAUGCUUUAGAUUUCAACAUCAGACAUAAAAAACACCUAAUCACAGUUUAAAAAAAGCAUGAGCAGUUUGUCCCUUCGCGCGUUCGGUUGUUUUAACUUUACUUAUUAGUUAGCUAAAUGUUAUUAUUUUUGAUCUACAUAUAGAUGGAUUUACCAAUGUUUGCAUAUUGCAGUUAUUAUUUACAACAACCGCUUAUGGUCACAAUUAGAGUAGUCUGCAGAACACAGCUAUUUUUUCUUAACACUUUUUUUUUGUAAAUGCAUAGAAGUGUAACAACAACAGGUAAUGUGGUGUUAAAAGAUUAUAUUGGUUUCACUAACUUUUAAGUUUAAUUAGGCAGACUUCCAAAAAUACUGUUACAGUAGACCAAGAGCAAAAACAAUAAAUUACAGACAGACAUAAUUAAAAAAUGAUGAAAAUAUGACUCCUGCAGAUCAUGUAGACUCUAUCGCAUCUACCUGUCGAUGGAACGAUCUGUCGUCUCCAGUGAGCGCACACCGACUGUGAGGAGUGAUCGUUAAAUGGAAACCGCGGAGUGGAAUAUGCUGACCUUUCGUGGUUUAAUAAGAGAAAGUUCUAAGCGGGGAUGUGAAUCCUCUCUUCCCUACCAAAAUGGUGUCUCAGCCUGUGAGGACAAAUGGGCAGUAGCUCAAGCCACGGAGCCACCCCCUGUUCACGCGAACGCAUUCCGGUUCCCAUCAGUCCGGGAGUUUCAAAGGUGAAAUAACUGAAAUAUUGGAGUUUCAUGGGGGGUGGCGGGAGAUGGGUGUGAAAAACGGGAGACUCCCGACAAAACUGGAGUCUUGACAGGUAUGGUUUCAACUGUUUAAAAUGAAUCAGUCAUUCUUUUGCGAGUCGUUUUGAUCACAGUGUGCGUUUAUGCUGGCAAACUCGCUGUGUGUAAAGUGUAACGCUAAUUCAACAAAACAUUCGCACAGCCUAAAAUAUUACACUGAUAAAUGCCACGUUCAUUUAAGAAACCUUUUCAAGAACGUACUUGGAUGCAAAAGAAACAAUAUUCACCUAAACAGCCGCAAAAUACAGCUAAUACAGCUCUUAGGAGAAAAGUAAACACCAACUCUCCAGCGCCUCACUGUGCUGAUAACAAAAAAGCGCCUCCAUUGUGGCGUAAUGCCACAAAUGCAGUUAAAAAAAUGACAGUCCAUUGAGUGCACGCAGUGUUUUUUAUGAAGACAGUCAACCUAUCACUUUGGUGUCAGUCGGAGUGGCCGCCCUCCAAUUUCUCUAUGCAGGAAAAAACCCUGUGUACAGUGUCAGAGAAAUUCACUGAAACAUGAUGUCCACUACAUAGGACAAAUUGCUAUGCUUGGGUCUCAGGAGGUUAAUAGGGCCAUUAGGGUUGGGAUUUUAUCUUUAUCUGUGUGAAACACAUCAAUAUUCAUUGCCAUUGACACUCCCUCGCAUGUGGCCUUUUCACAACAAAACGUGUCUCACAAAAGUUAAAUUACUAUAUUGUAUAUAGGUGAAUGAGUGAGCAGAAUGGUUUUUAUAUAUUUUUGUAGCAAACUCAUUAGUCUACAAAAUCCAAUACACAAGUUGGAACACAUGUUUAGUAUAUGUUGUCUUACCUUAUUUCAGUGUUCUACUAACCAUGCAUAAACAUAUGUGCUUGCAUAUUAUUUUAGCACGUUUGUGCUGAAUACAGUGAAAUGAGACAAGUCAUUAUGUUUAUAAACAAACGAAAAAAGCACAAAUGUCAGAACACGUCAAAACUUCUGAAGGGCCCCAAAACAGACACCAAACCUGAAAGGAAAUGAAAGAGCAGAUGCUGCAAAGCAGGUAGCAGAACAGCCGCUGACAGUUGUCUCUUUUCGUGCAUCAAUUCUCUUCAAAAGGCUUUUAUUAACCCCUUUGAGCCGUGUGGAGCAGUUUUUUGAUCGAUGGAUUUCUUGUGGAUUUAGUGAAAAGGAUGAAUGGAUGAAGAUAUUAAUUCCUGCACUUUGUGUUUUGUUCCUAUUGUUGUUCUUUGUAAAACCAGAUUUUUUAAGUUAAUUUAACACAAUAUUUUAAUCUGAUUACCUAAAUGUAUUCAAUUGAAUUAAACACAAGUUCCAUUCAAGUAUUAUAGUGCAGUGCUGGAAAUAAAUGAUAUUGCAUUAACAAACUGCUUUUGAAAUGUGCUGUUUAAUUGAUACAGAUAGCAAGGCCUAGGGCUUGUGGGGGAACAUAGUUCAGGCUCAGGGACAAGCCAUUCAAACAUUGUCUUUGCUGUCAUCUGACACAAGACCUUACUAAAAUACAUACAAAAAAGUUUAACCAUUUUAAAUUCUUUCUUUCCCAUAUUAUUAAUGGCUAAUUGCCUAACCACUGCAGUCAAUACAUUAAACCUGGCUAAUGAAACCACAGUAACAGACCCGAUGUACAUUCACAAACGUGUCAAAAGUUAACAGGAACAACAAUAUUUAUGAGUUAAUGCUGUGAACCUCGCAUAAGAAUAAAUAUUACGUUUAGUCAAUUGUGAUUAAUUCUUAUUGCAACCAAUGUAAACACGACAGCUUGCUUCUUCGAUCAGACAUCUUCGUGUUGUAAAGAAGGACCGUUAAAGCACGCGACAUCCUGUGGAAUUCAACCAGUCAGACUUCGAACUCACUGAAAUGUUUCCAAGAAAGUGUGACUUUGCAUCACACGUACAGCCAACGGUCCGUGGGCUUGAUGUCUGAGGCUGAGACUACAGUGCAGUGUAUAAAGAUAAUGUUCUUGCACUUCUUUUGUCUUUUUGCUGCAGAACUUUCCGUAUGUCUUUGAUUCUUGCAACCUUCUUGCAAGAGACAAGAUCAAAGACAAUUAUUUGGGUUGAUUUUCAUUUCAGCCUCACCUGCAAUUUUUCAGUAGUGACUUGAGACACUUGAGAGAUACAAAGAAAGUGAACAUCUUGCUCCUUCAACCCUGAUAUUUGCCACCAGCAGUGUGCAGCACUUCUUUUACAGUUGCUGCUUCACCUGUUUGUGGCUCAUACGCCUCUGUGCUGUUUAUACCGAUUAUGCACAUGUCACAGUUGAGGGUGUUAUUGAAGGUUCUGCUGUCUUGCCAUGUAUUUCAAAUACGAAUGAGCACAAACCUGAUGACAUUAAUGUGCGUUGGAGACACAAUGGCAGCCUGAAUGUGUGUGACAUGACUAAGGGCAAAUGUUCAGUGAAGAAUCAGGACUCUACAUACAAGAACAGAAUUCAAGUCAUCUCUAAUAAUUAUGAGGAAUUAAACUUCUCCCUCAAACUCAACAAUCUUAUACACACUGAUGCUGGAGAGUACCAAUGCUUCAUCACACAUUCAUCUGAACUUGUGAAAGUACAACUGCUCAUCAAAGAAAAAACUGAAGCAAAAGUAAAAACACAAACAGCAGCAGACGAAAACCAUGCAGGUGGGACGAAGUGGAUGAAGAUAUUAAUUCCUGCACUUUGUGUUUUUUGCCAUUAUGCCUUUCUCUACCUAACCCUAUAAAUUAAUUUAAAUCAAUGUUUAAUUUUUCUAACUCCAACUUACCACUAAACAGGAACGUGACUAACUAAAUUGGGCUAAGACAACAUUGACAUGAACUAACACUGACUACACUAGGCUUUGACUUGGAAUCACAGAGCAGGAACAAGACGUUUUGUCUUUGUAAGAGAUGGAACAAAACUAACUAGCACAAGACAGAAAACACAAGAGCAUUAAAUAGGGAACCAAAUCAAGAGGGGAACAGGUGCGGGGCAUUAAAUCAUUACAGUCACUAAUGAGGGAACGAGAGGGCAGGGACAAAGACGAGACCGGAGAGAGCGCAUUGUACGGCGAGCAGAGAGCAGUAUCAUAAGUUAUUUUCUUAUUAUGAUCUUUAUACAUGUUUUUGUCUUUGUAGUCCGAGCGCCUGUACUUUCAAUUCUGAUAAAUUAUGAGAAACAAACUCUCUGUUCUUUAUAAGCCUCUGUUUGUACUAUAAUAAAUGAAGAAUCAACUUAGAUGUACCCUUGAGUGUGUGUCACUUAUUUGGUUCUCCCAGUGCCGUAAAGAGACAGAUCGACUUGGUAGUAAAAGACUGUUUGUGGGCACAAAUUAUCUAACAGUUCUGGGGGCUCGUCCAUCGGAGAAAAGAAUCCGGCGGCACGAACAAACAGCAUUCGCCACAGGUAAGUGAAUUCUUAAGUGAGUUCUUCUUUCCUGUGGGUGGAUGGCUUCCAGACUUUAGUUAGCCUUUUAAAGGGCCCCACUUUAAAUGCAGUGGAUUGCCUGCUAACGCAGAAUAUGUAAACCUGAUUAAGUUGGCUAUAAAAAGGUCCUAUGGACUACUUGCAUGUAGUCUUCCACGUUCUCCUCGAUGCUGCUCAGUCAUUUCCGGUAACAGUGUUAAGUGUAUCUACAUGCGGAGAUCAUGGUAGACUAUUUUUAGGGUGGUCACUUAAUUAAAAACAAAACAUCCUGUUUGUGAUGUUAACAUGCUUUAGUGUGGGUUUUUAUGACAGAUCUUAAAGCUACAGUUUGUAAAAACCGCCGCUAGAGGGCGGAUGAUCAAAACAACAACAAUGGCAUAGCUUGAUGAUGCUGUGAAGGAGCGUCGAAUGAGGGGAUCUGUUGUCUUCAACUCCACCACUGACGGCCAUCAAUCAGACGGGAACAGGAAAUCAUGUUAGAGGAUGUGGUAAAGUAAUAAAGUUUUAUAAAUGUUGCAUAUAAUUGUGGUCCAUAAAUAAGUGACUGCUCAAACAAGCUAGUGGCUUGCUAGACGCUAGACACUACUACACUUAUUUUGAACCGUUUAGGUUUCACAGGGAGCAACAGCCCAUAGUAAAUGCAUAUAACCAUAACCCAGUGAGCUGUACAAUUUCAAGUCGGAAGUACGUCACAAGGCUAUGUGCAAGUAGUCCAUUCGACGCAAUAGAUCGCCCUCAAAUGGAAAAUCAAAAGAGAUUUAGUUGGCUUUAACCAGGGUCCUAUUCUGAGCAACAGUAAACCAGCCAACGGAGAUCUGAAAUCCUACACACUUCGAUUGCAGGAAUCUCUCUUCCAUUUGCUUGCACUGUAAUCCCAAACAGUUGUACUAGCUCAUAACUAAUAAGGUCACAACAGUCAAAUGUCGUUAUGCAGUUGACCAAACUAUAAAGUUUUGAGCUCUAUUGAGAUUUAUGCCACUUUAAUUGAAUAGGGCUCAAUAUUUUAUAGCUAAUUUGUGUGGAACACUCAAAAAGUUUAGAAACCACACGGUAGUGUCAUGACGUUAUUGACGUAAUGACGUUCUGGUGGGUGGGUCUUAUCUCUCCCUCAGGAAAGCUGAGUCAGCCAUCUUGAAUUUGCCUUGAUGCGGGGAAGUCUUGGCCAGCCCGUGUGGAUGUGGAACAAAGUUUAAUUUGUUUUUAUUUGUUUGUAAUGCGCACUUUUAUCCCCCCGCUUCAAACCACCACCACCUCAGUUUUUUUCAUUAGUCUUAUUGCCCUCGUUUUCUUCAGCGCCGUCUUAUCAUCAGCCCUUCUGAUUUGGUAAGUAACGUUAACGCUAAGUUUUUUUUUUUUUUGAAUUUCGAUAAAUAGUAUUAAAUUUGGAACUGGGAAUACAUUUGUACAAUGUGCACAGUGAAUAUUUGUUGUAAAUAGUUUACAAAUCCAAGUAAUUGUAACGUUAGAAGUUGUUGAAUGUGCAAAUAAAAGUUACGUCUCACAAUCUUACAACGGUGAAACGUUUUCAGCGGGUUUCCUGGAUGAACUACAUUUGGACGGUGGAGGAAGGUCCAUGAGUCUGAACUCUCUGGCGGGGGCCAAAAACAUAACUUUAUCCCUGCUUCCCGGUUUCUGCCGGUUGUUGUUUUCGCUGUUCGCCGGUAAUGCACGUGAGUACGGCUCAAGUGUGUGGUUGUGAGAUCAUCUCGAAAUCAUUAUAACAGUUCAGAUAUCGGACUACAAAGAGUGCUACAGAGAGUCAGCGUUUCACCAUCAGACAGGCUGAAGUUGGCCCAAUGGAGUGGAAGUGCAAGUUGUGUUCUGCAACAUCAAAUACCCGGGGACAAUUAUUGCACUUCCUGUGUACCUGCGUGGAGAUGCCUCCAAGUUCUUCAGGACCUGUAAUUCAGCAGAUGGUCCAGACCUCACUGACACUCCGGUGGCUCUGCUGACAGUUGAUGACACUACUGAUGCGGCCCUCUUCAGCCCUGAGAGCAUCUGUAUUGUUGUGGAGGAUGAAAUACUUGUGAGUGGUCCCACAAAUCUGGCUGACUCAUUUCUCCUGCUCCUUGGGUACGUCUAUGCACUAGACCUACAGUACCCAAAGAAUCUCGAACUUACAUUCAUCCAAAAAGUUGUGAUGUGUCUUGAGGACAACAAACCACUGAAAGGGCGUCUAAUGACGCUGAAGAAUGAUUUGUUCAAUGAGUGAAUCACUCAGAAUGGAUUAUUUGUUGAGCUGAGUAUUGAGGAAGUUUUUUGGUUUUUUUCCCCUCUUUACAAAUGUAAUCAUUUGCAUCUUACCUCAGAUUUAAGAUGUGACACUGUUUGCCUCUUCUACCUCAGACAUUCAAAAAGUGUUAAAUGGCUCCACAUUCUAAUAGUUGUCAUUGCUGUUGAGGAUGGAUUAUACUUAGAAUCUUAUUGAAUUUUAUCAUGAAUCCUUUGUGAGUUUUUAUCAUAAUGUUUAUUGAAUAAUGUGAGAUGGAGACCCAAAAUACUGAAUCUACCCUCUGUAGCAAUGACCACUAUCAGAAUAUGGAACUAUUAACACUUAAUGUACUUUAAAACAGAUUUUGUUUUUGAGUCAUUUCCUUUUGUUUUAAUUUAUGACAAGCACUUUGUUUUGACUGAGCUCCUUUGAUUCGUGCCUUUUAAAAAGCACAUUGUGUUGAAUAAAAAAAGUUGUUAAAUUGUCACUGUGGUGUCACUUUCAUGUUUUCUAAUAUUAUUAGCUGAUUAUAAUUGUGUAGUGGGCUGACAUCAGUAUUUCAGUUUAGAAUUAAUUUUGAGUGCAUGUCCCACAUUUUGAGUUGAAAAAUAUUAAAAAUUUUGAGUGUAUUUCCCACAUUUUGAGUUGAAAAAUAUUAAAAAUUUUGAGUGUAUUUCCCACAUUAUAUG